rnacentral:rRNA from 1 species
GACGAACGCUGGCGGCGUGCUUAACACAUGCAAGUCGAACGGAAAGGCCCUGCUUUUGUGGGGUGCUCGAGUGGCGAACGGGUGAGUAACACGUGAGUAACCUGCCCUUGACUUUGGGAUAACUUCCGGAAACUGGGGCUAAUACCGGAUAGGAGCUCCUGCUGCAUGGUGGGGGUUGGAAUGUUUCGGCGGUUGGGGAUGGACUCGCGGGUUAUCUGCUUGUUGGUGGGGUAGUGGCUUACCAAGGCUUUGACGGGUAGCCGGCCUGAGAGGGUGACCGGCCACAUUGGGACUGAGAUACGGCCCAGAGUCCUACGGGAGGCAGCAGUGGGGAAUAUUGCACAAUGGGCGGGAGCAUGAUGCAGAAACGCCGCGUGCGGGAUGACGGCCUUCGGGUUGUAAACCGAUUUCGCCUGUGACGAAGCGUGAGUGACGGUAAUGGGUAAAGAAGCACCGGCUAACUACGUG